CCUACGGGUGGCAGCAGUGGGGAAUAUUGCACAAUGGGGGAAACCCUGAUGCAGCAACGCCGCGUGAAGGAAGACGGUUUUCGGAUUGUAAACUUCUUUUCUUAGUGAAGAAUAAUGACGGUAUCUCAGGCGCAAGCGACGGCUAACUACGCGCCAGCAGCCGCGGUAAUACGUAGGUGGCAAGCGUUGUCCGGAUUUACUGGGUGUAAAGGGAGCGCAGGCGGGAAGCCAAGUCAGCUGUGAAAACUACGGGCUUAACUUGUAGACUGCAGUUGAAACUGGUUUUCUUGAGUGAAGUAGAGGUUGGCGGAAUUGCGAGGGUAGCGGUGAAAUGCGUAGAUAUUCGGAGGAACACCAGUGGCGAGGGCGGACAACUGGGCUUUAACUGACGCUGAGGCUCGAAAGUGUGGGGAGCAAACAGGAUUAGAUACCCGAGUAGUC
rnacentral:rRNA from 1 species